GUGCCAGCAGCCGCGGUAAUACGGAGGGUGCAAGCGUUGUCCGGAAUCACUGGGCGUAAAGGGUGCGCAGGCGGGGCAGCAAGUCGGAGGUGAAAGCCCGUGGCUCAACCACGGAAGUGCCUUCGAAACUGUUGCUCUUGAGUCCCGGAGAGGUUGCCGGAAUUCGUGGUGUAGCGGUGAAAUGCGUAGAUAUCGCGAGGAACACCAGAGGCGAAAGCGGGCAACUGGACGGGUACUGACGCUCAGGCACGAAAGCGCGGGGAGCAAACAGGAUUAGAAACCCUUGUAGUCC
rnacentral:rRNA from 1 species